CCUACGGGGGGCAGCAGUGAGGAAUAUUGGUCAAUGGCCGAGAGGCUGAACCAGCCAAGUCGCGUGAGGGAAGACGGCCCUACGGGUUGUAAACCUCUUUUGUCGGGGAGCAAAGCGAGUCACGUGUGACCCAUUGAGAGUACCCGAAGAAAAAGCAUCGGCUAACUCCGUGCCAGCAGCCGCGGUAAUACGGAGGAUCCGAGCGUUAUCCGGAUUUAUUGGGUUUAAAGGGAGCGUAGAUGGGUUGUUAAGUCAGUUGUGAAAGUUUGCGGCUCAACCGUAAAAUUGCAAUUGAUACUGGCAGUCUUGAGUACAGUUGAGGUAGGCGGAAUUCGUGGUGUAGCGGUGAAAUGCUUAGAUAUCACGAAGAACUCCGAUUGCGAAGGCAGCCUACUAAACUGCCACUGACAUUGAUGCUCGAAAGUGUGGGUAUCAAACAGGAUUAGAUACCCGAGUAGUC
rnacentral:rRNA from 1 species